GGGAAUUUUGCGCAAUGGGGGAAACCCUGACGCAGCAACGCCGCGUGGAGGAUGAAGUAUCUUGGUACGCAAACUCCUUUCGAUAGGGAAGAUAAUGACGGUACCUAUAGAAGAAGCCCCGGCUAACUUCGUGCCAGCAGCCGCGGUAAUACGAGGGGGGCAAGCGUUGUUCGGAAUUAUUGGGCGUAAAUGGUGCGUAGGCGGUUUGAUAAGUCUCGUGUGAAAUCUCUGGGCUCAACCCAGAGUCUGCACGGGAAACUGUCGGGCUUGAGUAUGGGAGAGGUGAGUGGAAUUUCCGGUGUAGCGGUGAAAUGCGUAGAUAUCGGAAGGAACACCUGUGGCGAAAGCGGCUCACUGGACCAUAACUGACGCUGAGGCACGAAAGCUAGGGGAGCAAA
rnacentral:rRNA from 1 species